rnacentral:rRNA from 1 species
GAUGAACGCUGGCGGCGUGCCUAAUACAUGCAAGUCGAGCGAACAGACGAGGAGCUUGCUCCUCUGACGUUAGCGGCGGACGGGUGAGUAACACGUGGAUAACCUACCUAUAAGACUGGGAUAACUUCGGGAAACCGGAGCUAAUACCGGAUAAUAUAUUGAACCGCAUGGUUCAAUAGUGGAAGACGGUUUUGCUGUCACUUAUAGAUGGAUCCGCGCCGCAUUAGCUAGUUGGUAAGGUAACGGCUUACCAAGGCAACGAUGCGUAGCCGACCUGAGAGGGUGAUCGGCCACACUGGAACUGAGACACGGUCCAGACUCCUACGGGAGGCAGCAGUAGGGAAUCUUCCGCAAUGGGCGAAAGCUUGACGGAGCAACGCCGCGUGAGUGAUGAAGGUCUUCGGAUCGUAAAACUCUGUUAUUAGGGAAGAACAAAUGUGUAAGUAACUAUGCACGUCUUGACGGUACCUAAUCAGAAUGCCACGGCUAACUACGUG